UUCUUCUUCAAUUCAUGUGUUUGCUAAUUAUUAUUCAUUUUAAUCAUCAGUUGGUUUCAAUCUCUUGAUCUUACUUGGUUAUUUUUUGUGUAUCUCACGAUCUUUGCUUGUGGAAAAAAAGGGAAAAGUGCGGUCCUUGGUGAAAUGGUUUGGAUGGCCUCAGAAAACCAACACUUGGGAUCCGGUGGAGAAUCUCUUAAGUUGUUCAGAUCUCAUUGACAAAUUCGAAGAAAGGCGAAUGUAGAAAAGCAAAUGAAGAUGGCUGGUGUUGUUCGAACCGAUGGGAAGGUUAGUGUUAGAAGGUUAAUUUUGUGUAUAUAUUUCUUCUCCUCAAAUUAUUCAACCAUCAAAUAUCUUUUUUGUUGGUUUUCACUGUGCAAAAUGGGUGAAAGUAUGUAGCAAAGGAAAAGAAAAUAACUGAAAUGAAAACAGAGAAUCGACAAAGCAUUAUGAGGAUGAUAAAUGCAGGAAGCGGCUUCUAGAACACUCCAUAAAGAUUUGCAGAUCCCGCAUAUAUCAAAGGGGAGUCUGUAAGUGCACCAAAGUUUGAUAAAUGUCGGAUACUGCUCAAGUUUCAACAUUGAAGGACUGAUCUUGUAAUUAUGUGAAAGUGUCACAAGUUUGGACAAGGGUUCUUAUACAUAUGAGAACUUGUGGGUUUAGAAUGUCACUACUUUUAAUCUUUUAUAUGGUGAGUACUUGUGGUUCUCUAAAUGGUGCGAACUUGUAUUGUCUAGUUAGUGGUGAGUACUUGUGGUUCACUUAAAUGGUGCGAACUUGAAUUGUCUAGUUGGCGGUGAGUACUUAUUUGUUAAGUACUGAGGUUUUAUUGUAAGGUCUAUGAUGUCCGGACAUAUGAUUGUAUAUAAGCUUUGUGAUGUAUGCAAUCAUUAGACAUUCAAUGAAACAAUGAAAUUUUGGA